rnacentral:rRNA from 1 species
AUAUCAAUAAGCGGAGGAAAAGAAACCAACAGGGAUUGCCUCAGUAACGGCGAGUGAAGCGGCAACAGCUCAAAUUUGAAAUCUGGCCCUCGGGUCCGAGUUGUAAUUUGCAGAGGAUGCUUCGGGUGCGGUGCCUUCCAAGUCCCCUGGAACGGGGCGCCAGAGAGGGUGAGAGCCCCGUCCGGUCGGCCGCCAAGCCCGUGUGAAGCUCCUUCGACGAGUCGAGUAGUUUGGGAAUGCUGCUCUAAACGGGAGGUAGACCCCUUCUAAAGCUAAAUACCGGCCAGAGACCGAUAGCGCACAAGUAGAGUGAUCGAAAGAUGAAAAGCACUUUGAAAAGAGGGUUAAACAGUACGUGAAAUUGUUGAAAGGGAAGCGCUUGUGACCAGACGUGCAGCGGGUGCUCAGCAGGCGUUCUCGCCUGUGCACUCGCCCGCUGCAGGCCAGCGUCGGUUCGGACGGGGGGACAAAGGCGCCGGGAACGUAGCUCCUCCGGGAGUGUUACAGCCCGGCGUGCCAUGCCCCCGGCCGGACCGAGGUUCGCGUUCGCAAGGACGCUGGCGUAAUGGUCCCCAGCGGCCCGUCUUGAAACACGGACCAAGGAGUCGAGGUUUUGCGCGAGUGUCUGGGUGUCAAACCCGCACGCGUAAUGAAAGUGAACGUAGGUGGGAGCUUCGGCGCACCACCGACCGAUCCUGAUGUUCUCGGAUGGAUUUGAGUAGGAGCGUAGGGCCUCGGACCCGAAAGAUGGUGAACUAUACGUGGAUAGGGUGAAGCCAGAGGAAACUCUGGUGGAGGCUCGCAGCGGUUCUGACGUGCAAAUCGAUCGUCAAAUCUGCGUAUGGGGGCGAAAGACUAAUCGAACCAUCUAGUAGCUGGUUACCGCCGAAGUUUCCCUCAGGAUAGCAGUGUUGGUCUCAGUUUUAUGAGGUAAAGCGAAUGAUUAGGGACUCGGGGGCGCUUUUUAGCCUUCAUCCAUUCUCAAACUUUAAAUAUGUAAGAAGCCCUUGUUGCUUAGUUGAACGUGGGCCUUCGAAUGCAGCAACACUAGUGGGCC